rnacentral:tRNA from 1 species
AUCAAUUUAGCAAAAAUGCAACUGAUUUAGGAUCAGUAGAUAUAGGUGAAAAUCCUUUAAUUGAUA